GGGUCGUUAGCUCAGUUGGUAGAGCAGUUGACUUUUAAUCAAUUGGUCAAAAAAAAAAACACAACA
rnacentral:tRNA from 1 species